AUUGAACGCUGGCGGCAUGCCUAACACAUGCAAGUCGAGCGGAGCGGCGGACGGGUGAGUGAUGCCUAGGAAUCUGCCUGGUAGUGGGGGAUAACGUCCGGAAACGGGCGCUAAUACCGCAUACUCUCAGAUGAGCCUAGGUCGGAUUAGCUAGUUGGUGGGGUAAAGGCCUACCAAGGCGACGAUCCGUAACUGGUCUGAGAGGAUGAGCAGUCACACGGGAACUGAGACACGGUCCAGACGCGUACGGGAGGCAGCAGUGGGGAAUAUGGGACAAGGGGCGAAAGCCUGAUCCAGGCAUGCCGCGUGUGUGAAGAAGGUCUUCGGAUUGUAAAGCACUUUAAGUUGGGAGGCGUUACCAACAGAAUAAGCACCGGCUAACUUCGUGCCAGCAGCCGCGGUAAUUC
rnacentral:rRNA from 1 species